rnacentral:rRNA from 1 species
UACGGGGGGAGCAAGCGUUGUUCGGAUUUACUGGGCGUAAAGGGCGCGUAGGCGGUCGUGACAAGUCACUUGUGAAAUCUCCGGGCUUAACUCGGAAAGGUCAACUGAUACUGUGCGACUAGAGUGCAGAAGGGGCAACUGGAAUUCUCGGUGUAGCGGUGAAAUGCGUAGAUAUCGAGAGGAACACCUGCGGCGAAGGCGGGUUGCUGGGCUGACACUGACGCUGAGGCGCGAAAGCCAGGGGAGCGAACGGG